rnacentral:rRNA from 1 species
UACGAAGGGGGCUAGCGUUGCUCGGAAUCACUGGGCGUAAAGCGCACGUAGGCGGCUUUGUAAGUUAGAGGUGAAAGCCUGGAGCUCAACUCCAGAAUUGCCUUUAAGACUGCAUCGCUUGAAUCGCGGAGAGGUGAGUGGAAUUCCGAGUGUAGAGGUGAAAUUCGUAGAUAUUCGGAAGAACACCAGUGGCGAAGGCGGCUCACUGGACGCGUAUUGACGCUGAGGUGCGAAAGCGUGGGGAGCAAACAGG